rnacentral:sRNA from 1 species
GUUUGCACUCAUCGGGGAAGGGUGAGAACCUUCGACUAAGGUUCGAUUCGAGCGAAAGCGAGAGAACGUUGCCACAGGCAACGGCCCGAAGGGUGAGGAGCGAAGCGACGAAUAAUCCUUCCCCCACCAUCA